AUUGAACGCUGGCGGAAUGCUUUACACAUGCAAGUCGAACGGCAGCACGGGGGCAACCCUGGUGGCGAGUGGCGAACGGGUGAGUAAUACAUCGGAACGUGCCCAGUCGUGGGGGAUAACGUAGCGAAAGUUAGGCUAAUACCGCAUACGAUCUACGGAUGAAAGCGGGGGACCGUAAGGCCUCGCGCCAUUGGAGCGACCGAUGUCAGAUUAGGUAUUUGGUGAGGUAAAGGCUCACCAAGCCGACGAUCUGUAGCUGGUCUGAGAGGACGACCAGCCACACUGGGACUGAGACACGGCCCAGACUCCUACGGGAGGCAGCAGUGGGGAAUUUUGGACAAUGGGCGCAAGCCUGAUCCAGCCAUUCCGCGUGCAGGACGAAGGCCUUCGGGUUGUAAACUGCUUUUGUACGGAACGAAAAGGCUCUGGUUAAUACCUGGGGCUCAUGACGGUACCGUAAGAAUAAGCACCGGCUAACUACGUGCCAGCCGCCGCCGUAA
rnacentral:rRNA from 1 species